rnacentral:sRNA from 1 species
UAUGCUAAGGGAGUAUCUUGGUGCUGAUGCAUUUAAAAGUGGUAUUGUACAGUAUCUCCAGAAGCAUAGCUAUAAAAAUACAAAAAACGAGGACCUGUGGGAUAGUAUGGCAAGUAUUUGCCCUACAGAUGGUGUAAAAGGGAUGGAUGGCUUUUGCUCUAGAAGUCAACAUUCAUCUUCAUCCUCACAUUGGCAUCAGGAAGGGCUGGAUGUGAAAACCAUGAUGAACACUUGGACACUGCAGAAGGGUUUUCCCCUGAUAACCAUCACAGUGAGGGGGAGGAACGUACACAUGAAGCAAGAGCACUACAUGAAGGGCUCUGAUGGCGCCCCGGACACUGGGUACCUGUGGCAUGUUCCAUUGACAUUCAUCACCAGCAAAUCAGACAUGGUCCAUCGAUUUUUGCUAAAAACAAAAACAGAUGUGCUCAUCCUCCCAGAAGAGGUGGAAUGGAUCAAAUUUAAUGUGGACAUGAAUGGCUAUUACAUUGUGCAUUACGAGGAUGAUGGAUGGGACUCUUUGACCGGCCUUUUAAAAGGAACACACACAGCAGUCAGCAGUAAUGAUCGGGCGAGUCUCAUUAACAAUGCAUUUCAGCUCGUCAGGUAAUACACGCUGCACAAAGUCGUGGUUUAUUUCUGAAAGCAGCUGUUAUUGUUCAAAUUCUUGAUUUCUAAAGACAAAAAUGAUUGAUUGAUAACAAGAAGUUGAAAGGUGUUUUCCUCUAAGUUCUUCUAACAACCCAAGAUUGCUU